AUGCCAGGUGCUGGAGUGGUGGCCUUGAACCAUGAGGGUAGAUGUGUUGCUGCAUGUUCUGAACCUAUUCAAGGCACGAUGGAGCCUGAACUAGCUGAGGCGCUAGCUCUACGAAGGGCCGUGUACCUGGCAAAGGACGAACAUUUUUCAAAUGUUUUAUUUGCAUCAGAUUGCCAAUCACUGGUGAAUAGAAUUAUUUCUGGCAAAAUUGAUCGUUCCAGUGUCGGUACAGUGAUUAAUGAUAUCAAGUUUGCUUCAAGGGGCUUUGUGUCUGCAGAGUUCAAGCAUGUUCGUCGGCUUGUUAAUGUGGCUGCUCAUCUAUUAACUAAGUCUUGUAAGAAUUUGUCUAAUCUAGUUAUUUUUCAUUCUACUCCGGAUUGUAUCCGGGAGACUCUUGUAUCUUUGGUUAUGUGA
rnacentral:rRNA from 1 species